GACGAACGCUGGCGGCGUGCCUAACACAUGCAAGUCGAGCGGAGAAUUGGGAGCUUGCUUCUGAUUCUUAGCGGCGGACGGGUGAGUAACGCGUGAGCAACCUGCCUCAAACUGGGGGAUAACGCAUCGAAAGAUGUGCUAAUACCGCGUAAGACCACACUACCACAUGGUAGAGGGGUCAAAGGAGCAAUCCGGUUUGAGAUGGGCUCGCGUCCGAUUAGCUAGUUGCGGGAUAACAGCCCACAAGGCGACGAUCGGUAGCCGACCUGAGAGGGUGAUCGGCCACAUUGGAACUGAGAUACGGUCCAGACUCCUACGGGAGGCAGCAGUGGGGAAUAUUGGGGCAAUGGGCGAAAGCCUGACCCAGCAACGCCGACGUGAGGGAANAAGGGUUUCGGCUCGUAAACCUCUGU
rnacentral:rRNA from 1 species